CUCAAGGAAGGAGAGGAAGGUUGUCUGCCUUACUUUGGAGGAAGAAGCAGGCAGCAGCCAGGCAGCCUCAUGGUCCAGCUGCCAAGCCUUCCUGGUCACGAUGGAUUAUCCCCCUCUGGAACUGCAAAGCCAAAAUAAACCUGUUCUCCUGGAAGCUGAUUUUGUGUGGAUGUUCUGUCACACCAAGAGGAAAGAUACAGAGGAAAACAAGCCAUCUCUGCGCCUGAAAGAGGCCUCACCAGACGCUGACAUUGCUGCCACCAUAAUCUUGGACUUUCAGCCUCCAGCAGUAUGAAUGAACAAAUCUCUGAUGCACAGCCUUCCAGACAGUGGUGUUCUGCUGGGACUGCCCACUGCACUGCCUCCCGAGACCUCUAGUCAAUCAACAGAGGAGGUGAAGCAGGGAGGCUCACCAUCCAGAGACUGCCCCACCUGGGGAUCCGUCCCACAUAAAGUCACCAAACCCGGACACUAUUGCGGAUGCCAACAAGUGCUAGCUGACAGGAACCUGAUAUGGCUGUCUCCUGAAAGGCUCUGCCAGAGCCUGACAAAUACAGAGGGGGAUGCGCUCAGCCAACUAUUAGACUGAGCACAAGGUCCCCACUAGAGGAGCUAUAAAGGACCCACGGAGCCAAAGAGGUUUGCAGUCCCAUAGGAGGAACGACAAUAUGAGCCAAGCAGUACCCCCAGUGUUCCCAGGAACUAAACCACCAACCAAGGAGUACACUUGGAGGGACCCAUGUCUCCAGUCGUAUAUGUAGCAGAGGAUGGCCUUGUCAAACAUCAAUGAGAGGAGAGGCCCUUGGUCCUGUGAAGGCUUGUUGCCCCAUUGUAGGGGAAUGCCAGGCCUGGAAAGUGGGAGUGCAUGAGUUAGUGGG